GCAGUCGACGCUGAGCUUGGUGCUUGCACUGGGUGGAUGAGUGGCGAACGGGUGAGUAAUACGUGAGUAACCUGCCCUUGACUCUGGGAUAAGCCUGGGAAACUGGGUCUAAUACUGGAUACGACAUGUCACCGCAUGGUGGUGUGUGGAAAGGGUUUUACUGGUUUUGGAUGGGCUCACGGCCUAUCAGCUUGUUGGUGGGGUAAUGGCUCACCAAGGCGACGACGGGUAGCCGGCCUGAGAGGGUGACCGGCCACACUGGGACUGAGACACGGCCCAGACUCCUACGGGAGGCAGCAGUGGGGAAUAUUGCACAAUGGGCGGAAGCCUGAUGCAGCGACGCCGCGUGAGGGAUGACGGCCUUCGGGUUGUAAACCUCUUUCAGCACGGAAGAAGCGAAAGUGACGGUACGUGCAGAAGAAGCGCCGGCUAACUACGUGCCAGCAGCCGCGGUAAUACGUAGGGCGCAAGCGUUGUCCGGAAUUAUUGGGCGUAAAGAGCUCGUAGGCGGUUUGUCGCGUCUGCUGUGAAAGCCCGGGGCUUAACCCCGGGUGUGCAGUGGGUACGGGCAGACUUGAGUGCAGUAGGGGAGACUGGAAUUUCUGGUGUACCGGUGAAAUGCGCAGAUAUCAUGAGGGAACACCGAUGGCGAAGGUA
rnacentral:rRNA from 1 species